GCCUACGGGAGGCAGCAGUGGGGAAUUUUGCGCAAUGGGGGAAACCCUGACGCAGCAACGCCGCGUGAGUGAUGAAGGCCUUCGGGUCGUAAAGCUCUGUCAGAGGGAAAGAAAUGUGAGAGGGUUAAUACCCCUUUCACUUGACGGUACCCUCAAAGGAAGCACCGGCUAACUCCGUGCCAGCAGCCGCGGUC
rnacentral:rRNA from 1 species